GGAGGGGUUCCCGAGUGGCCAAAGGGNNCGGCUCCGCCUUCGAUGGUUCGAAUCCGUCCCCCUCCACCA
rnacentral:tRNA from 1 species